rnacentral:rRNA from 1 species
AGUGAACGCUGGCGGCGUGCUUAACACAUGCAAGUCGAACGAGAACGGAUUAUAGCUUGCUAUAAUUGUCAGCUAAGUGGCGCACGGGCGAGUAAUGUAUAGGUAAUAUGCCUCUUACUAAGGGAUAACAAAUGGAAACGUUUGCUAAUACCUUAUACUCCUUAUUAACAGAAGUUAAUAAGGGAAAGAUUUAUUGGUAAGAGAUUAGCCUGUAUUGUAUCAGUUAGUUGGUGGGGUAAUGGCCUACCAAGACUAUGACACAUAACUGGUUUGAGAGGAUGAUCAGUCACACUGGAACUGAGACACGGUCCAGACUCCUACGGGAGGCAGCAGUGGGGAAUAUUGCACAAUGGACGAAAGUCUGAUGCAGCAACGCCGCGUGGAGGAUGACACAUUUCGGUGCGUAAACUCCUUUUAUAUGAGAAGAUAAUGACGGUAUUAUAUGAAUAAGCACCGGCUAACUCCGUGCCAGCAGCCGCAGUAA